GCCCGCCUAGCUCAAUCGGAUAGAGCGUCAGACUCUUACGAGGGCGGUUGCGUUCUGGACCUCCUCCCGGGUUAUCUGAAGGCUGCGAGUUCGACCCUCGCGGUGGGCU